GACGAACGCUGGCGGCGUGCUUAACACAUGCAAGUCGAACGGUGAAGCUCCAGCUUGCUGGAGUGGAUCAGUGGCGAACGGGUGAGUAACACGUGAGCAACCUGCCCCUGACUCUGGAAUAAGCGCUGGAAACGGCGUCUAAUACUGGAUACGAGAAGGGUCCGCAUGGGCACUUUCUGGAAAGUUUUUCGGUUGGGGAUGGGCGGGCGGCCUAUCAGCUUGUUGGUGAGGUAAUGGCUCACCAAGGCGACGACGGGUAGCCGGCCUGAGAGGGCGACCGGCCACACUGGGACUGAGACACGGCCCAGACUCCUACGGGAGGCAGCAGUGGGGAAUAUUGCACAAUGGGCGAAAGCCUGAUGCAGCGACGCCGCGUGAGGGAUGACGGCCUUCGGGUUGUAAACCUCUUUCAGCAGGGAAGAAGCGAAAGUGACGGUACCUGCAGAAGAAGCACCGGCUAACUACGUG
rnacentral:rRNA from 1 species